rnacentral:lncRNA from 1 species
UUUGCAGCUUCUUUUCUAGUCUCAAAAAAUUUAAAUGCUUUCUUUAGGAUCAACUGAAAAAUGAAAUUCUUACAAGUAGACAGAGACCUCCAAACCAUCAAUACAUUUUCCAGCCAAUAUCCAGCCAGUUUCCUGCAAAACUCUACAUGAAUCCUCAUGCAGAAGUAGAACUCAAAACUCCCAAAUUAGAUUGGAGCAUAGAAGUGCAGAAUAUUGCCAUUGAGCUGACCAAGCCCCAGUACUUAAGUAUGAUUGACCUUUUGGAAUCGUUGGAUUAUAUGGUUAGAAAUGUACCUUAUAGGAAAUAUAAACCUAAUUUACCACUUCAUACCAAUUGUAGGCAAUGGUAAGUAUGAGCUUGCUUUUUUUAUUUUAUGAGAAGCAUAAUUAUACAAUAUGUCAAAAUUAAGAGACCUGUAAGCAAUGUAGUAUACCCACUCAGAAAAAAAUAGGGUCUUCCCCUCCUCUCCAAAAGCCAAG